AUUGAACGCUGGCGGCAGGCCUAACACAUGCAAGUCGAGCGGAAGAAGGGAGCUUGCGCCUGGAUUCAGCGGGGGAAGGGGGAGUAAUGCCUAUGAGUAUGCCUGGUAGGGGGGGAGAACGUCCGGAAACGGGCGCUAAUACCGCAUACGUCCUGAGGGAGAAAGAGGGGGGGGGUCGGACCGCUCGCGCUCAGGGGAGUGUAGGUCGGAUUAGCUAGUUGGUGGGGGGAAGGCCUACCAAGGGGAGGAUCGGCAAGUGGUCUGAGAGGAUGAUCAGUCACCCUGGAACUGAGCCACGGUCCAGGGUCCUACGGGAGGCAGCAGUGGGGAAUGUUGGACAAUGGUCGAAAGCCUGAUACAGCCAUGCCGCGCGUGUUAAGAAGGUCUUCGGAUUGUAAAGCACUUUUAGUUGGGAGGAAGCGCUUUAAGUUAAUACCUUGCUGUUUUGACGUUACCAGCAGAAUAAGCACCGGCUAACUACGUG
rnacentral:rRNA from 1 species